AUGCUUACACUUGUCCUCAGAAGCCACGAGACAAACAGACACGGCUGAGCCAUACAUUUAAGGAAUCUUUUAAAGCCAAGGACUCCGAGCCUCCCAGCCAGGCUCUGGCCCUCCUGAUGUUGCUGACCUCCUGAGCAGGUAGAGAUAAAGAGUGCUGGGUAAUACAUCAGCCUGAUGGUUUCUUCAGACAGGCUGUCUUCAGGGCUCUAGAAGCCCAUACAGAAUAGAGCAGUUAGGAAGCAAGAUGAAGGCCGCAUGCACAAAGCCCUGGGUUUGAUCCCCAGACCCCCAUGAAUCAGACAUGGUGGUAAACACCUGCAAUCCUAGCAAUCAGGAGGUGAAAACAGGAGGAUUAAAGUGUCCAAGGUCAUCCUUGGCUACAUAAUACAUUCAAGACCAGACACAGCAACACAAGACCCUGCCUCCAGAAAAAAAGCAAUCUAACCCUGGCCAGGCCCCAUCAAGAUGCAAGGGUUGUGAGAGAAAGAUGGGUGGUGGCCACGGACAGAGUCUACGGACCAGGAAAUCGUGAGAAACACCGUGGACUUCAUGGGGUCUCCCGGUGGAGAAUUCUGAAGAUUGGUGAGUGGCUGGGGACAUGUCUUGGUGAGCUUUCAUGGCCUGGAAGCUAUUGACAGAGCAUCCACUCCACAGCUGAGCUGUUUCUCUGGAAACAGCAGAAGCCGGGUCUGUGGGUUUGUGAUGGUACCCUCAGGGCUGGGGUAUCCCAUCAAGCCUCCUCCAGACUAAAAUGAAGAACCAGAGAGAUAUACCCCGAGUUCCCUUUAUCCGCAGAGCCUGGCUCCCCCGAUGUGAGCCUUAGGUUUCCAUAUUAGAUCUUAGUGUGUGAGAGAACUUCACAGCCAGGAAAAUCUACUCAUCACUAGAGAUCAAGCCAUGUCCUGUCUUCCCAAGGUGCACCUUUCACUCCCAGACCACAGCCUCCCCAGUUCAUCCCAGCCAAGGAUGGAAGGGUCCCUCCCUACAUCGACAACAAGGUAAGACUUCUGCUGAGAGGCCGCUGCAUGCAGCGAUCAGAAAUCACAGAGACUCCUGCUGGCAAAGCAAAGAAACAGUGGCUAAGUUUUUCUAGAAGGAGGCAAGAAACAGCACACUAGAGUCAAAGGCCCUUUCACAGGUCUCUCUGGCAUCUCUACUGAGGAUGGGCCACUGGAAGGUCACCUGGCUGACCUCUCUCUGGAAGUUCCCGACAGCAGGAAAACACUGCAGCCUAGAAUCGUCACCGGGGCGAUUUGGGUCAUCCACCCCAAUGAUGUUUGUCAGGGGUAAAUAUUUAGUUGUUCUCUCUGCAGCCUGGAGGGAGGAGACUUUCAAUUGAAUGAAUGGUGAAUUGAAAGGUCCUUAACAUCUCUUCUUGGUCCCCUCUAGCUGUCCUGGAACUAGGAAGAGGGGUGGUUAGACAUGAUGUACCCAAGCCACUAAACUGUGCAUCUUUAAAUGGUUCAUUCGUGUUGUGUGAAUUUCACUCCUUUAUUAAAUAAUUCAUUUUUUAA
rnacentral:lncRNA from 1 species